rnacentral:rRNA from 1 species
GGGCCCUACGGGGCGCAGCAGGCGCGAAACCUUUACACUGCACGAACGUGCGAUAAGGGGACUCCGAGUGCGAGGGCAUACAGUCCUCGCUAUUGUGUACCGUAGGGUGGUACACGACCAAGAGCUGGGCAAGACCGGUGCCAGCCGCCGCGGUAAUACCGGCAGCUCGAGUGAUGGCCGAUCUUAUUGGGCCUAAAGCGUCCGUAGCC